CAAACACAGGGUGGAAUAAGUUAUUAUUUUACCAUGAACUUUACAUAAGAUAUAUAAAAAAAAAACAUGAAGAGCGAAGGAAUACAAAACAUGAAGAAAAGAAAAAAGAGACAAGGAAGCGCAUGGAAAACAAUUCAAGGAGAGAGGGUUUUGUAGUUAGGAUCAGAAACUCGGUUUUCGUAGAACCUAGCGAUAUAAGAAGUGGCUCGUCUAUCGACCCCUGGCUCAGCGAUCCAAAGCCGACCAUCUUCAUCACUGGUCAUGAUUCUUGACCUUAUGAUCACUCCUUCGUCGCUCCAAUCAUCUCCACUGUUCGAACAGCACGGUAAUAAAGCUCUUAUCACUGAUAAUGUUGACAUUUUCUUGCUCUUACCCAUCUCGAUAUAUCUUAUAGUUAUACGUAAAAUCACUAUUUGGAACAUAUGUAUACAUUUAAGGUCACAUAUUUAUAGGAAGGUAGAAAGAGAGAAUAUAAUAU